AUCCAGCUGACGAGUCCCAGGAUAGGAAGAAACGCACAUCAAACUGGAU
rnacentral:hammerhead_ribozyme from 1 species